UGUUCAGCUUCCUUUUCAUUGGCAGCAUUAUAUGACCCUAUACUCACAAAGAUCAACAAGAAAAGUAACCGCAAAAUCAUAGAAUACAAAUACUUAAUUCAAGUAAUGAUACUAUGCAUUUGAAUUAGUGUUAAGUCAAGAUAACUUUUUCUUGCUCAGCUCUGUUCUUAAAUGCGGUAAUGAUCUUACUUUGCGUACUCUUAUAUACUGAAUUUAAUAAGAUUGAAAAUGCACUAGAUUUAAACUUAAAUUCUAUAUAAAACUUUACCAUAGUUUGAUUUUUAUCGAUAGGAAUAAACUGCCAUUCAUUAUAUAGAUACUUAAAUAUUCCAUUCGAUGAUUUCACUCUUAUCCAUCCUUCAUUUUUUUCACCAGCAGGCAUAGCUGUUACUUCCGAUGUGUACUUCCCUUUGAUCCCAUAAAAAACUGCAAGCAAAUCAACAACUAUUUGAUAGUUGACUUUUUUCCUUAUGUAAAUUGCUUUACACCAAGGAACAAAAUCUGGAUACCUUUCGACAUCAAUAACUAUUUGAAAUAUCUUGUGUGGUGCACAAAAAAAAAUGCCUUGUUCUUGAUAUUUAUGAAACAUAUCUUUAAAAUAACUAAAAUGGGGUCCAUAUCUACCGUCAGCCUUAGCUUAUUCCUGAGACCUCAAAUUAAGGUGGGUAUCACGUGCCAAUUUUAAUAAAACUAGCAGAGGCAAUUCCCUUAAUAAAAUAUUAUCGCUCGGGAAAUUUGACUUAACUUAUAACGGAUAGCACAGACCCCUUGUAUUGU